UGGAGCUUGCUCCACGGAUUAGUGGCGAACGGGCUGAGUAACACGUGAAUAACCUGCCCUCAAUUUCGGAAUAACCCAGGGAAACCUGGGCUAAUACCGGAUACGUAAACCUGUGGCAUCACAUGGUUUUGGAAAGUUUUUCGAUUGAGGAUGGAUUCGCGGCCUAUCAGCUUGUUGGUGAGGUAAUGGCUCACCAAGGCGACGACGGGUAGCCGGCCUGAGAGGGUGGACGGCCACACUGGGACUGAGACACGGCCCAGACUCCUACGGGAGGCAGCAGUGGGGAAUAUUGCGCAAUGGACGAAAGUCUGACGCAGCGACGCCUCGUGAGGGACGAAGGUCUUCGGAUUGUAAACCUCUUUCAGCAGGGACGAAGCGAAAGUGACGGUACCUGCAGAAGAAGCACCGGCUAACUAUGUGCCAGCAGCCGCGGUAAUACAUAGGGUGCAAGCGUUGUCCGGAUUUAUUGGGCGUAAAGAGUUCGUAGGCGGUUUUUCGCGUCGGAUGUGAAAACUCAGGGCUCAACCCUGAGCCUGCAUUCGAUACGGGAAGACUCGAGGACGGCAGGGGAGACUGGAACUUCUGGUGUAGCGGUGGAAUGCGCAGAUAUCAGAAAGAACACCAAUGGCGAAGGCAGGUCUCUGGGCCGAUCCUGACGCUGAGGAACGAAAGCGUGGGGAGC
rnacentral:rRNA from 1 species